AUCCACAUCAUGUUGAAACACCAGUUCCUGUAUGAUCAUCAAAGUUAAGCAAUGUCAAGCUUGGUCAGUACCUAGACGGGUGACUGAUUGGGAACACUGGGUGCUGUAA